AACAUGUUAGUUUAAUGGAAGAACUAUGCGCUACGAACGUAUUAGUACAAGUUCGAUUCUUGUACAUGUUU